GGUUAUGGCAGCGGGGGCGGCAGGCGCGGGCGGGGGCGCCGUGGGGCCCGGUGUCAUGAGCGACAGCGACGCCAUCGACUACUCGGUGCACGAGGCCUGGAACGAGGCUACCAACGUCUACCUGCUGGUGGUGCUGGCCAGCCUGGCGCUGCUGGUCUACGCCCGCCGGAAUAAAAGGAAGAUCAUGCGAAUAUUCACAGUGCCUCCUACAGCAGAGGCACCGCCAGAGCCAAACUUUUAUGACAGUAUGAAAAAAAUUCGCUUACGACAACAAUUAGAGAUGUAUUCUCUCGCUGCUUUCCCUGCAUAGUUGGAGAUAUGUUUGAUAUGUUGAUACUCCAAACUUCCAUGGCAGCUAGAAGCAUCAGGGAGCCCAUUACACUGGGAGCUAGCAUCCUUCAGAACUCUUCAGCAAGGAAGUAUGACCAGCAGCCGCCACAGAAACAGACUGACAGCGUACAGCUCUUAAUGGAAUGAAGUCUCAAAUUAUGGGAACUCAAGCAAUUUUUACAGUGCUAAUAAUGCUAGGGGAGUUGGUAUGGAGUCAUUUUCAAAGGAACUUCAAUGGCAUAUGUUUUUUUAAAAAACCUCUCCUAUAAAUAUAUUUCUUGGAAACUUUUCUUUGGACCUGUUUAGAUACUUACCAAACAUCUGCUGAUUCUUUAAAAAUGAAAUGCUCAAAGAAACACUUGAGGGAAGAUGGCUGUAGUCCAUACUAAACAGAUGUUCAAAAUGUUCCAGUGCUUUCCACUGUUGCCAGUACUUUGGUGAUCAGCUCCUUUGCUGAACCAGGGGUAUUUUUGCAACAUGGCAGUAGAGGACAUUGGGGUUAUUGGGUAAGUUUCUACUGUCUGUCUCCUCCUCUGAUGGUUUCUUAGGGGAACACAUGGAAAAGUCAUGCAGUGCCUAUGUGCCUGAACAUUGCCAAGUUGUAUGUCUCAUUUGAACACCAUUGUCUUCUGCUGUAAGGGACUACAGAACACGUACAGUACACAUAAUUGUGCUGCUGUAAAUUCACAGCUGAAAUGAAUAGCUCUUGAGAGCCAGAAAUUUAUAUCAUUGGCCUUAUGGAAAAAAGGAAAAAAAUGAAAUUUUCGUCUGUACAGAGAGCAUAAUUAUAGUACUGCACCUUUUCCAUGCUAAAGCUUUAAUGAAAGCUAAGAUCAGAAGGGUAGUACAUAAGUCUUGUUUGCUAAAGGACUGUAUAUUGAAAUGCUGUAGCAAAGAUUAUUAAAAUUAGAUAGGACUCCAAUAAACCAGCUAGCUAAGUGAGGUCUCUCCCUGGCUAGCUGGAGCACUUGAUUGCCUGUUCUUUUCAUUCCCUCUGAAGCACCUGAGAUUGGCCACUGUUGGAAGAUGGACCAUUAGUCUGAUCCAGUAUGGCCAUUCUUAUGUCCUCCCCCAGUCCCAGGGGCAGUUAUGAGCCUGUGCAAACUGGUGAGUCUCUUAGGAUCAGAUUGGGACAGAAAAUCUGACUUGUAUCCUUUAAUAUGCCAGUAGAGCUGUAUAAACUGUAAUCUGUACAGAUGGAGAAAUAAUACAUAGAGAGAAAUAGAGGGAGGAAAUGAUGAUUCUGACAGGAAAAAUGCAGGUGAAUACAUCUGUAAAAUAAUAUUCAGUGGGCAGGGAAGUUAAACUUGUAAACAUGUUGGAUAUCAGAGAAAUUAGAGAUUGAAGAAACCUAUUAAUUUAUGUCUGUCCUUCUGCUAGUGAAGGAUGGUAUUUAUACUAAAGCUUCUACUUGUAAAUUUCAAGUGGUGGAUCUUCCUUUGGAAGAUUAGAUCUCAUAUUGGGAAGUUUUAUCCUGAUUUUCAGCCUUAAUUUCCCCUUAAAGUACUCCUGGGUAUGUGAAAUGUUGUUUUUUGUAUUAUGUUUUAAUUUGUUUAAUGGCAUUUAAUAGUAAAAUACAUAUUGAACUGAA